rnacentral:rRNA from 1 species
GAAUUCGCCCUUAGAGUUUGAUCCUGGCUCAGGACGAACGCUGGCGGCGUGCCUAACACAUGCAAGUCGAGCGGGGAUCGGGAGCUUGCUUCUGAUUCUAGCGGCGGACGGGUGAGUAACGCGUGAGCAACCUGCCUCGAACUGGGGGAUAACGCAUCGAAAGAUGUGCUAAUACCGCGUAAGACCACAGUACCACAUGGUGCAGGGGUCAAAGGAGCAAUCCGGUUUGAGAUGGGCUCGCGUCCGAUUAGCUAGUUGGUGAGAUAAAAGCCCACCAAGGCGACGAUCGGUAGCCGACCUGAGAGGGUGAUCGGCCACAUUGGAACUGAGAUGCGGUCCAGACUCCUACGGGAGGCAGCAGUGGGGAAUAUUGGGCAAUGGGCGAAAGCCUGACCCAGCAACGCCGCGUGAGGGAAGAAGGGUUUCGGCUCGUAAACCUCUGUCCUAUGGGACGAAGGAAGUGACGGUACCAUAGGAGGAAGCCCCGGCUAACUACGUGCCAGCAGCCGCGGUAAUACGUAGGGGGCGAGCGUUGUCCGGAAUGAUUGGGCGUAAAGGGCGCGUAGGCGGCCUGUUAAGUCUGGAGUGAAGGUCCUGCUUUCAAGGUGGGAAUUGCUUUGGAUACUGACGGGCUCGAGUGCAGGAGAGGAAAGCGGAAUUACCGGUGUAGCGGUGAAAUGCGUAGAGAUCGGUAGGAACACCAGUGGCGAAGGCGGCUUUCUGGACUGAAACUGACGCUGAGGCGCGAAAGCGUGGGGAGCAAACAAGAUUAGAUACCCUGGUAGUCCACGCGGUAAACGAUGA